GUAGCUUACCAAGCAUGUUGCCACUCUACAGGUAUCUGAAGUGUAUAUGUUCUAAGGAAGAACAGAUGUCCAUAACUGGGGGAAGGAAAUAGAGAGCAAGAUUAAGGGUCACACUAGAUACUUGCUGGAUACAUAGGCUGUAUCUAUUUUUCUAGUUCUGGUCUGAAUAUUGAAAGUGGGGUUUUUUGCAGGGUGGGGAGGUUGUUUUUAGGCAUUAAGGUCACAGUCUUGGGGCUACUCUGGGAUGUGAAUGCAUUGAAAUUUCUUAAACCGUACCUAUUGGUGCAGCAGUGGAUGAGAACCAAUAAACUGAAGCUUAAUCAAGUUAAGACUGUGGCGUUGUUAGUAAGUAGCUCCUUAGACCAAAUGGGCAAGAGAAGACCUGAGGGAAGCCAUAUCAGUCACCUGAACUGAUAGUUAUUUCUUCAGUGUACAAUCAUGAAG